GGCCAGGUGGCGGAGUGGUUAUCGCGCAGCACUCGAAUUAAGCUACUCUAUAGUUGUCGACAUGCUGUUCCCUCGGGAGCGUCUGUUCGAAUCAGGCCCUGGUCG